AAAGUAAACAAAGUUACGCGGAAUAUUUUUCUCUUUGGAUUAUCAAACUAAUAUCAGAUAAGUUGUUAAAUCCACAUUUAUCUUGUGCAUAUAUUUGUUAAUUAAUAUUAUUUUAUUUGUUUUUAUUAUAUUGAUUAAUAAGUCAAUAUUAUUUUGAUAACUAUGUAUUCAACUGAGAGGGAAAUUCUAAAACAACAUAUUGGAUGGAAAAAUGGUUGGGAAGGUAGGUGCCCAUUCUGUUCCUAUCUUUAGAAGUUAUUUAUACCUAUGCAAUACCUUCGCUCAGGUUAAAGAAUGGAAUACUAGUCUUGCAUCAAAUGUAUGUAAAAAUCUAGCUUUUAUAUAUUAACUUGUGAUCAGAGCAACUGGUAUGUUGGAUGGAUAUUUUACUUAUCCAUUUGAUGUUUAUCACCAGAAGUUAGUUCUACCUUGGCAGUACCUCUGCUCUACAUACCUCCUCGCUGAUUAAAGAAUGGAAUUUAAAUCUCAUAUCAAGUUGCUGUAAAAAAUUUAGUUCAAUAAAUUAAGAAUUUGUAAACGUUAUCAAAAUUUUGAGUGGAGCAAUUGUUUUUCUGGUUUAGCAUGAGUAUGAAUUUGAUAUCAAUUGGAUGUACAAAGAUAGUUUACUACUUAAAGAACCUAUCAGUGAACCAACUGAUUAUAAAACAGUUUUUAAUGGGAAUAAAAACAAAUUUUCAAAAGAUUUCAAUUAGCUAUUUGUAUAUUCAAACACUUUAUUUACUGAGAGAAGAGACUAUAGAUUCAA
rnacentral:lncRNA from 1 species